UACGGAGGGUGCAAGCGUUAAUCGGAAUCACUGGGCGUAAAGCGUGCGUAGGCGGCCUGCCAAGUCAGGUGUGAAAGCCCUCCGCUCAACGGAGGAAUUGCACUUGAAACUGGUGGGCUCGAGUCCUGGAGAGGGUGGCGGAAUUCCCGGUGUAGGAGUGAAAUCCGUAGAUAUCGGGAGGAACACCAGUGGCGAAGGCGGCCACCUGGACAGUGACUGACGCUGAGGUA
rnacentral:rRNA from 1 species